rnacentral:rRNA from 1 species
UUCAUGGAGAGUUUGAUCCUGGCUCAGGACGAACGCUGGCGGCGUGCCUAAUACAUGCAAGUCGAGCGGACCGACGGGAGCUUGCUCCCUUAGGUUAGCGGCGGACGGGUGAGUAACACGUGGGUAACCUGCCUGUAAGACUGGGAUAACUCCGGGAAACCGGGGCUAA